rnacentral:rRNA from 1 species
UACAGAGGUGGCAAGCGUUGUUCGGAAUUACUGGGCGUAAAGGGCGCGUAGGCGGCCUUCUAAGUCAGACGUGAAAUCCCCCGGCUUAACCUGGGAACUGCGUCUGAUACUGGGAGGCUUGAGUAUGGGAGAGGGAUGUAGAAUUCCAGGUGUAGCGGUGAAAUGCGUAGAGAUCGGGAGGAACACCAGUGGCGAAGGCGGCUACCUGGACCAGCACUGACACUGAGGCACGAAAGCGUGGGGAGCAAACAGG